UGCCUGUGUUUUAGGACAGAGGAUUCACUUGGGUGAUUCCAUUUUUCUUUCAGAAGCAGCUUAAUGAAGACAGCCAGACAUAAAAUCCUCAUUGUCCAGUUGGAUUUUGAUGAUGGCGCUCACAAUGCUCAGCUCAUUGCAUCAGCUAAAUACACUGCUAUCAAUGAAAUCAACAAAAUACAAGGAACUCAGGGCUGCA
rnacentral:lncRNA from 1 species